rnacentral:rRNA from 1 species
CCUACGGGAGGCAGCAGUGGGGAAUUUUGGACAAUGGGCGAAAGCCUGAUCCAGCAAUGCCGCGUGUGUGAAGAAGGCCUUCGGGUUGUAAAGCACUUUUGUUCGGGAAGAAAAGGUUUUGGCUAAUAUCCGAAACUGAUGACGGUACCGGAAGAAUAAGCACCGGCUAACUACGUGCCAGCAGCCGCGGUAAUACGUAUGGUGCAAGCGUUAAUCGGAAUUACUGGGCGUAAAGCGUGCGCAGGCGGUUUGUUAAGACAGAUGUGAAAUCCCCGGGCUCAACCUGGGAACUGCAUUUGUGACUGGCAAGCUAGAGUAUGGCAGAGGGGGGUGGAAUUCCGCGUGUAGCAGUGAAAUGCGUAGAUAUGCGGAGGAACACCGAUGGCGAAGGCAGCCCCCUGGGCCAAUACUGACGCUCAUGCACGAAAGCGUGGGGAGCAAACAGGAUUAGAUACCCUGGUAGUCCACGCCCUAAACGAUGUCAACUAGUUGUUGGGGAUUCAUUUCCUUAGUAACGUAGCUAACGCGUGAAGUUGACCGCCUGGGGAGUACGGUCGCAAGAUUAAAACUCAAAUGAAAUUGACGG